GCAAGGGCCGCGGGACGGAUGGGCUCCGGAACGGAGGAGUCAUUGCAGCUCAUUUAAUAGAACGCAACGGUCGCGGAUGGACGUGCUCCAGAACGGAGGCGUCAUCGCGGCUCGUUUAACAGAACGCGCGGCGUACGCAGAAAGGAUCAACUCAGGGACGAAUGGCGUUAUGAUUCAUUUAAUUAAUUGUAUAGUAUCAUAUGUACUACAAUUUCAUUAUUGCACAUUGUGGGAAUAUAAUCUGAAGAGGAGAUCUGAUAACUCGGAAAUAAAUUAGACUUAAAGGAGGUAUCGGGUUUCGGAAGACAAACUUUGCGAUUUAUCGUAGCGAUGUGUCUGUUAACGCCACUGUUGCGCAUUGAUUGUGAACUUAUUCCAUGUAUUAAGCUAUCAUAUAUACACUCGUCGAUGAUUUAAAUAAACGAACCGCAACCGGUUCGUCGCGUCGCGUUUGUUCCGGGAGUGUCGUUCAAAGUAACUGGACUAAUGGAUUUAACUAGUCCACGUGCGUGAUUUUAAUAUAUUAUUCGCGAGUGUUUCGCGAGUGCAACGGAAGAAAGGGACCUGACAACUUGGACCUGAGAGGAGGAGGAGGCCUGGGAGAGGUAUCGGGCCCCAGCGGAGCAACAUUGUGUAAUCAACGUAGCUUCGUAGCUCAAUAACUCCGCUCGUUGCGCAUCGGAUCGGUGAGUCAAAGAACAUAUUUUUUUUUUUUCUUGUAUCAUUGUUGUGCAAACGUUCUCCUUGCGGAGGAUCGAAGAAAAGGACACUGAAAGAAAGAGUUUGAUAAUAACUGCCAAAUGUUGGGUGAAAUAAAUUUAAAUAAUUAUACAUUU